rnacentral:rRNA from 1 species
AGUGAACGCUGGCGGUGGGCCUAACACAUGCAAGUCGAACGGCAGCACAGUAAGAGCUUGCUCUUACGGGUGGCGAGUGGCGGACGGGUGAGGAAUACAUCGGAAUCUACUUUUUCGUGGGGGAUAACGUAGGGAAACUUACGCUAAUACCGCAUACGACCUACGGGUGAAAGCAGGGGAUCUUCGGACCUUGCGCGAUUGAAUGAGCCGAUGUCGGAUUAGCUAGUUGGCGGGGUAAAGGCCCACCAAGGCGACGAUCCGUAGCUGGUCUGAGAGGAUGAUCAGCCACACUGGAACUGAGACACGGUCCAGACUCCUACGGGAGGCAGCAGUGGGGAAUAUUGGACAAUGGGCGCAAGCCUGAUCCAGCCAUACCGCGUGGGUGAAGAAGGCCUUCGGGUUGUAAAGCCCUUUUGUUGGGAAAGAAAAGCAGCAGGUUAAUACCCCGCUGUUCUGACGUUACCCAAAGAAUAAGCACCGGCUAACUUCGUG